CCUACGGGAGACAGCAGUGAGGAAUAUUGGUCAAUGGGCUUACGCCUGAACCAGCCAAGUCGCGUGAGGGAAGACUGCCCUAUGGGUUGUAAACCUCUUUUGCCAGGGAGCAACGCCGGCUACGUGUAGCCGGACUGAGAGUACCUGAAGAAAAAGCAUCGGCUAACUCCGUGCCAGCAGCCGCGGUAAUACGGGGGAUGCGAGCGUUAUCCGGAUUUAUUGGGUUAAAAGGGUGCGUAGGCGGAAUGCCAAGUCAGCGGUAAAAGCGCGGGGCUCAACCUCGCUCCGCCGUUGAAACUGGCGUUCUUGAGUGGGCGAGAGGUAUGCGGAAUGCGUGGUGUAGCGGUGAAAUGCAUAGAUAUCAGGCAGAACUCCGGUUGCGAAGGCAGCAUACCGGCGCCCAACUGACGCUGAAGCACGAAAGCGUGGGUAUCGAACAGGAUUAGAUACCCGAGUAGUC
rnacentral:rRNA from 1 species